rnacentral:tRNA from 1 species
GGAUGGGUGGCAGAGUGGUUUAAUGCAGCGGUCUUGAAAACCGCCGAAGGUUUUGCCUUCCGUGAGUUCGAAUCUCACCCCAUCCG